GCGCUGCGGGCCGAGGCAAACGACCCUUCCCAGAGGCAAAUCCCAGGAGCGGGGGGCAGGCUGGCACAAAGCUGUGCAGCAUCGUAACACACAGACCACCUUGUGGUCUGCCAGACCCGAUCGGCCAAAACCAUCUCCAAGCUGGCGUACCAUAGCGGCGUGGUGAUCGUGAGGUGCCCGGGCUGCGGGAACCACCACGUCAUGGCUGACAACCUGGGCUGGUUCUCGGACCUGGAGGGGAAGCGGAAUAUCGAGGAGAUCCUGGCAGCCAAAGGGGAGAAGGUGAGACGUGUGGCUGGUGAGGAGGCCCUGGAGCUGCUCCUGGAGAGCUCGGCAGAGACCGGGUCCGGAGGGGAACCCGCGGAGGGAGAAGGUGGGGAAGUGCCCCCCAAGAUCGGCAGCAAGGGGCAGACCUGACAGUUGGGGCCUGUGUCAUCCUGCUGAUGGCGAGAGAGACUCUUAACCUUUAUUCCUUGAUUUCAGUGGUAUGUAUUUAAUAAACUGGGGUUUUGGUCUUUCUCUGUUGUGUGUCUUGUGCAGUUUUGCCUUUGAGCAGGCUGAUGUUUUUAGGGAUGGAGCCUGGAUGUUUGUCUUGGUACUUGUUCUGCUGAUUUAAGGCAAGCUUCGGUGCUUCAGCAGAGUCAGAGCUUUGUUUUCUGCUGAGAAAGGAACCUGUAGCUCUUGGUCUCUAUUAGCCUAAGGAGGUGCAGCUGGGCUGGAGGCUUCAGCCAUGGCUCCUGGCCUUGCCCAGGUGCUGCUGCAGAGCUGAUGAGCAGAAGAGACAAUUGGUACCACCUGAAGAGAUGGCCAGACCCUGUGUGUGCUGGCAAAGCCAGAGUGACCCCGCAGGAGGCUCAGAUUAAUGCCUGGUGCUGCUUUGUCCUUCCCUCGCCAUCCUCCAGAGCCCUGCUCCGGUGCCCUGGUGUCGGGGCUGAAAGCCUGGUGUGUUUGUGGGUGACAGCGUGAGCCGCUGCCCCCGUGCUGGGGGAUCCCACUUGGCGCUGAGCGGCCCCGGCGCUGGGUUAUGCAAUUCCGUGUGGCUGAGGGGGAGGAUGGGCGUGAAGGCAAGAUUAAUAUUUCUUGAAGCACGUUGGAGAUAAGUAGAGCACCUAGAAAGUUGUCUGAAGAGUUACUUGACAGUUAUUGAGCUUAUUAACGCUGCUGCUGCAUGUUAAAAUCAGCUAGAAGAAAAAAUAAUACUGUAAUAAAUGAGGAAUGUAGGAGCUUAUCAGCAUGUAGCACUCGGGUAGCGAUGAAUCAGGCAGGAGGUGAUCACACUGUGCUUUGCUAGAGCUUGCUUCCUCUGCCUGCAUGAAAGUUUAACUGCUCUUGAGGUCCAUUAGCAUGAAGCACAGUGAAGUAGCUGCUUUCUAUGGUUUUAAACUUGCAAUCAAAGAGUAAUUCCAGUUGGAAGUGACCUCUGGAGGUUUCUAGUCAAACCCCCUUGUUCAGAGGAGGAUGCUCAGGGUCUUGUCUUGAAUAUCUCUGAGGAUACAGAUCCCACAACCUCUUUGCGCUCCUGUUCUGGUAUUUGGCCAGUAACACUAACUGAAAUUCCCUGUGUUUUGGCUUGCACCGUUACCUUCUUUCCAAACCCUGUCUCUGUUCUCUCUGCCCUCCCAUUAGUGAGCUACAAGAGCAGUAAAAUCCCUCAUAGCCUUCCUGUCUCUGGGCUGAACAAACCCCAUUCUUUCAGCCAAGCACAUCCAGGUGCUCAUGCUCCUUAAUCAGCCAAGGAUUCAGCAAGGGCCUUGCAGGUGUUAAUGGGUUUACUUCAUCUGAAGUGUUCCUGGUAAGUUUAUAUGUGUGGCAGUAUAAGCACGGAUCAAACAGGAAAGUGGUUGAGUGUUCCUGUUAUAUGGAAGUUCAGAGUGAUGGAACAGCAUUGAGGGGCAGGAACUUUGUCCGUCAGCUGCUCGUGUGUGCUCAGAUCCUGGUGAAGCACAGUGCUGGGGAACAGCUUGGUGCUGCAGUGACCCAGGGGUGAGUUAAGCAGAGUGUUGCAGCCUGGCCCAGCGCCGGGCACUCAGCGCUGUGAGCUGUGGGCACGUGUUUGCUCUGCUGGAGCAGGGAUUGUUUCGUUACCUUUUCCCUGAAAAUCAGCGUUGUGCUUCCCUUGUGCUGGUGCUUUGCUCGUGGCUCAGAGCAGCUGUGCCAGGAGCCGGGUUGCCCUGGAGACACUUAAUUUACAACCUGACCUUUUUAUGCUGGUUUUCUUUACCUUUCUGACCUGUUCCUGUGCCCCAGCUAUGGAAAGGUGGGGAUAGCUUUUGCUGUGUAAAAUGCUGCUUUCAGCUGGAGAAGUGAGGGUUGUUGUGUGCAGGAAUUUGCAUGUAACACAGAAGGAUUUGUGGCUCAUGGACUGCAGAUUAAAAAAAGACUUUUGUGCUGCCUUUUGAAGCGGGUUUUUGUGUCUCGGGGAAGUGGGUCUGGGCUGAAGGAGGCCCUGGAUGAGCUCACUUUGGCUGGGAGCAGCCUGGCAGGCUGGGCUUUAGGGAGCAGGGAGAAGAGAAGCCUUUCUGCUCACCUGGAGGUGUGUCAAGAUGAGAAGAAAGCAAGAGGAAGCCUGUGCAGCAGAGAGCGACUGGUGGUGCAGCCGAGCAGGUGAGUCUUUGUGGCUUGGAGGAGAGGAGGCGAUUUCAAGGGAGGCAAAGUGACCUUCACAGAGUGGGCAGCAAACAUGAAGUGUUUGCAGGUUCCUUGAAGCAUUUCACUGGCUGUCAAGGGAUGGAGCCUGAAUCUUGUCCCACGAGGGGUUUUCUGUAAAACACCAAAUACUUUGCCUCUUGUUUUGCGCCUCUGAGCAAACCCUCCUUUUGUAAUGCAGCCAGAUCCCAGAGUUAGUCUGGCUGCUGUGGGACUCGGGGGGUUGUGUCUCUUUGCUGCUGGGGUUACUGGUGGCGUGGCCCAGGCCCUGGAGGCAGCGGUGUUUGGUGAAGGUGGGGGCGAUGGGGGCUCUGUGGGACUUGCUGAGGGAAGGCCUGUGGCAGGCCAAGACAAGGGGAGUGGGCUGCAGAUCCUCCUUGUCUGGGGCUACCUGACAUAACCACUUCUGCUUUCUGCUACCAGGGUGCAGGAGCAUGUUGUGUAGACCGUGCAGGACUCCUGCUGCCCCGCAGGGAGCCGGCAGCUCUGCGCCCUGCCGUGCGUGCGGUGCUGCGCUGCGGGGGCUCGGCUGCACCGCGGAGCCACAUGGGAGCUGCUCCAGGGAUUUGCUGCCUCGCUGACAGCGAUGGGGCAGGGCUCAGGAUCCAAACCUGCUGCCGCCGGACGCGCUUCCUGGUGAAGCCCAAGGGCCUGUUCAUCCCCCUGCGCUGGAAGGAGCUGGUGCUGCUGCCUGCUGCCCCGAACAGCUCUGCUUGGGCAGAACUCGGUCCUGGAGCUGCUCAAGUCCAACAUGGUGAAGAGAAAAUAAAAUACUCCACAUCCUGAAGUUUGAUGCCUGUUCCCCUCCUUGCUGGGCUUCUCCAACUGUUCGGAAAGGGGAAGGAAUAAGGAACAAAGCUGAGCAGGAUGUUCCGAGGAAGAAGCCGGAGCAAUUCGUGACACAGGCAAGACAUGAAGACUUCAAACUGGAAAAGGUGCUUUUCUCUUCCCCUACUAAAUUAAAAGUGUUGUGGAAAUAAAGACAUGGAGGCUGGAGUUAA